rnacentral:rRNA from 1 species
CACGUAGGGGCCUAGCGUUGUCCGGAUUUAUUGGGCGUAAAGAGCUCGUAGGCGGUUCAGUCAGUCGGGUGUGAAAACUCCGGGCUCAACUCGGAGACGCCACCCGAUACUGCUGUGACUAGAGUCCGGUAGGGGAGCAGGGAAUUCCAGGUGUAGCGGUGAAAUGCGCAGAUAUCUGGAGGAACACCGGUGGCGAAGGCGCUGCUCUGGGCCGGUACUGACGCUGAGGAGCGAAAGCGUGGGUAGCAAACAGGAUUAGAAACCCGCGUAGUCC